rnacentral:lncRNA from 12 species
UUAUAAGAUCACUCUUGUCUAACCCUGAUCUUUUCUCUAAGUUUGAAACUUAGUAAAUGGUUGUUUUUUAAACUAUAGGAAAGAUAUUUUCCAAAUAAAAAAGAAAUCAGUCUUCAGGCUGACUUGUUCCCUGUGAAUGAGAAAGUGUGGAAAGCUAAUUCAUAUUGUGAGAGUUCUCUCAACUUAAUCCAGUGAGUUCUUGCCCUGCGAUUCAGAAACUCAGUAUUUCAUGCCAUGAAAUACUAGAACAAUUAAAUAAUCUAAAAUUAAAGCACACAUUUCUCCCCAUACUUGUCCAUUUUCCCUGCAGAUGUUUAAAUAAAUGAUCUUAUUUAUUAUCUAUCAGGUUAAGGGAAUGGAACUGGCUCUCAGUCAUAACAUUCUUAAAGCUAAAUGAGAUGGUCAGUCAGUAUUUGGACAUAAAAGAAAUAUGAAAUUACCUGAUAGAUCUUGCAAGAUACACUGAACUUGUCAAUGUUUUUUGUUUCUAGAGGAAAAUCUUCUUCUGCACUUUGAGUUUGUGCUGAGGCUCAAGACUUACCUACAUGGGUCAGUAGAAGAUAAACAUUUAUGCAUUUAUACAUGCAGGAUGCUGUUGCGUGAUGUAUUGCUUCCAUUGAGAAUCCAUGUUCUGUGUGAAGAUACUGUGGCUUAAGAGGAAUUGUGUUAUAUCAU